GAUGAACGCUGGCGGCGUGCCUAAUACAUGCAAGUCGAGCGAACAGACGAGGAGCUUGCUCCUCUGACGUUAGCGGCGGACGGGUGAGUAACACGUGGAUAACCUACCUAUAAGACUGGGAUAACUUCGGGAAACCGGAGCUAAUACCGGAUGACAUGUUGAACCGCAUGGUUCAACAGUGAAAGACGGUCUUGCUGUCACUUAUAGAUGGAUCCGCGCCGUAUUAGCUAGUUGGCAAGGUAACGGCUUACCAAGGCAACGAUGCGUAGCCGACCUGAGAGGGUGAUCGGCCACACUGGAACUGAGACACGGUCCAGACUCCUACGGGAGGCAGCAGUAGGGAAUCUUCCGCAAUGGGCGAAAGCCUGACGGAGCAACGCCGCGUGAGUGAAGAAGGUCUUCGGAUCGUAAAACUCUGUUAUUAGGGAAGAACAAAUGUGUAAGUAACUAUGCACGUCUUGACGGUACCUAAUCAGAAAGCCACGGCUAACUACGUG
rnacentral:rRNA from 1 species